rnacentral:rRNA from 1 species
AACGCUAGCUACAGGCUUAACACAUGCAAGUCGAGGGGCAUCAGGGUAGCAAUACCGCUGGCGACCGGCGCACGGGUGAGUAACACGUAUCCAACCUACCGUUAACUCGGGGAUAGCCUUUCGAAAGAAAGAUUAAUACCCGAUAGUAUAUUUUCUUCGCAUGUUGAAAAUAUUAAAGAAUUUCGGUUAUCGAUGGGGAUGCGUUCCAUUAGGCAGUUGGCGGGGUAACGGCCCACCAAACCUACGAUGGAUAGGGGUUCUGAGAGGAAGGUCCCCCACAUUGGAACUGAGACACGGUCCAAACUCCUACGGGAGGCAGCAGUGAGGAAUAUUGGUCAAUGGACGAAGGUCUGAACCAGCCAAGUAGCGUGAAGGAUGACUGCCCUAUGGGUUGUAAACUUCUUUUAUAUGGGAAUAAAGUUCUCCACGCGUGGAGUUUUGUAUGUACCAUUAUGAAUAAGCAUCGGCUAACUCCGUGCCAGCAGCCGCGGUAAUACGGAGGAUGCGAGCGUUAUCCGGAUUUAUUGGGUUUAAAGGGAGCGUAGGUGGACUGGUAAGUCAGUUGUGAAAGUUUGCGGCUCAACCGUAAAAUUGCAGUUGAUACUGUCAGUCUUGAGUACAGUAGAGGUGGGCGGAAUUCGUGGUGUAGCGGUGAAAUGCUUAGAUAUCACGAAGAACUCCGAUUG